GACUUUUGGGAUAGCAUUGGAAAUGUAAAUGAGGAAAAUACCUAAUAAAAAAAACCUUUAAAAACAUAAAAAUAAAAAUAAAACAAAUAAACCAAAAAGUCACCUGGCUUUAAAGCCUUACUGAGGCAGAUAGUAAAGGAGCAAGGGGGUGCAUCAUUGAAAUUACCUGUCUGGUUACAUCUCCCCUGAGCAAAACCUUAAGUGUAAUUAGUAAUGUCAAGUUAGCUAGCUUAGUGUGACCUGUGUGUCAUGUCACUUAUCUGAGCUCAGAAGGAAGGAAGGUUUCUUUUCUGACUUGUUUGGUGGCUUAUCACCUCUGCCACUGCUUCUACAGCUUUCCAUUUACUUACUAGAAGGCCUUGAGAUAAGGUUUCCAUGGGUACAGUUUCAGUCUUCUGUCCUACAAAUGAGAAAGAAUGGAGAUGAAAAGGGGAUUUAUUAAAAGAUACUUGUUGACCUUCUUCCUUUCAUUAUCCCACUAUCUUCCUGCCACAGGUAUCAUAGUAAUGGGAAGAUAGCCUUGCAGUGCAAGCAGGAUGACACACCCAUUUAUCAGUCCUGCUUUGCAGGCUCAGUUCAUCAAACCUGCAUAGGUCUUCAUUGAUGUUGUUCUUCCCACCCUUUCUCCAUGAAGCUAAGGAUUAUCAUUUCUUUGUUUCUUGGAUCUUAGAUUCCCUGAUUGGGCACAGUUAGAUGGUUCUAAAUGGUUCACACUGGUCUGAGGAUAAUGUUUCAUCCUAGCUUUGGUGCCUUCCUGUCAGACAGUAACUGAUGAUUGGAGAUAAAUGAGGCUUUUUCUCGCUGAUGAGCAGCAAACUAUACAUUGUAGUCAGUAUUGGCUAAUGGGGUUGCAGUCUGUAUGAUGAGUCAGCUGAGUUCCUGUCACACUCCUACCUUUUAUUUGUCAACAUUUAUUUCCUUGUGAUUGUCUUCCUCACUCCUAUUUAUGAUAAUUACAAAUGUGUACCCUUUCAUCAGGCUGGAUAGCCUAAUUCUAUUGAUCAUUUAAGAAAGACGAAAUUUAUACAGAAAACCCCUAUCUCGAAAAACC
rnacentral:lncRNA from 1 species